AGAGUUUGAUCCUGGCUCAGGACGAACGCUGGCGGUGUGCUUCACACAUGCAAGUCGAGCGAAUGAAGUAGGUAGCUUGCUACUUAUGGAUUUAGCGGCGGACGGGUGAGUAAUAUAUAGGAAUCUGCCUUAGAGCGGGGAACAACAGACCGAAAGGUUUGCUAAUGCCCCAUAGGUAUGCAGUCUUCGGAUUGUAUAUUAAAGGAGUAAUCCACUCUAAGAUGAGCCUGUAUCCGAUUAGCUAGUUGGCGGGGUAAAGGCCCACCAAGGCUACGAUCGGUAGUUGGUCUGAGAGGAUGAUCAGCCACAAUGGGACUGAGACACGGCCCAUACUCCUACGGGAGGCAGCAGUGGGGAAUAUUACACAAUGGGGGAAACCCUGAUGUAGCGACACCGCGUGAACGAAGAAGCCUUUUGGGGUGUAAAGUUCUGUCGGCUGGAACGAAAAAAAUGACGGUACCAGCAAAGGAAGCAUCGGCUAACUACGUGCCAGCAGCCGCGGUAAGACGUAGGAUGCAAGCGUUGUCCGGAUUUAUUGGGCGUAAAGAGUUCGUAGGCGGUUAUUUAAGUCUGAUGUUAAAUACUGUGGCCCAACCACAGAACUGCAUUGGAUACUGGAUGACUUGAGUGCGGUAGAGGCAAGUGGAAUUCCCAGUGUAGCGGUGAAAUGCGUAGA
rnacentral:rRNA from 1 species